GAUGAACGCUGGCGGCGUGCCUAAUACAUGCAAGUCGAGCGAACAGACGAGGAGCUUGCUCCUCUGACGUUAGCGGCGGACGGGUGAGUAACACGUGGAUAACCUACCUAUAAGACUGGGAUAACUUCGGGAAACCGGAGCUAAUACCGGAUAAUAUAUUGAACCGCAUGGUUCAAUAGUGAAAGACGGUUUUGCUGUCACUUAUAGAUGGAUCCGCGCCGCAUUAGCUAGUUGGUAAGGUAACGGCUUACCAAGGCAACGAUGCGUAGCCGACCUGAGAGGGUGAUCGGCCACACUGGAACUGAGACACGGUCCAGACUCCUACGGGAGGCAGCAGUAGGGAAUCCUCCGCAAUGGGCGAAGGCCUGACGGAGCAACGCCGCGUGAGUGAUGAAGGUCUUCGGAUCGUAAAACUCUGUUAUUAGGGAAGAACAAAUGUGUAAGUAACUAUGCACGUCUUGACGGUACCUAAUCAGAAAGCCACGGCUAACUACGUG
rnacentral:rRNA from 1 species